UUUUUGAAUGGAUCCGCAAAACUUUUGGGCCACGAAAAUUCUCCGCUAUACGGUACUCACAUUAUAAUUGAAUAAGUUGCGUGGGUGUCUGCAGGUGUUAGCUAAUGUUGAUAUGUACAUUGAUUGAUGUUGUAUAAGGACUUGUAAAUGUAUGCAGAAGUAUGUGUGUAUAGUCCAGAAAUUAAUAAGUAAAAAAUAAUUAAAAUAUAAACACUACAACAUUACCUGUUAACUUAUGUUAUUUUUUACAUUUUAGGUGAUAUAGAAAAUCAUCCUGAGGACAUUCUAGACAAAAAGCCACUACCAAGUGACCUCCAGAGGCUUUUUGACAGUUCUUCAUCUCAAUACAUGCUCAUUGGUACUGCACUUGGUGUUAAAGUUGAUGAUCUGCCACCUCUUCCUCAGUCAACCACUACUAACCUUAUACUAGUGUUCCAGAGAUGGAUAAAGUCCAAUGAAGGAGUAACCUGGAGGAAAGUACUUCAAGUUUGUGAAGAUUAUCCUGAUAAGUUUGGAGAAGUAAAGGCUGGUGUGGACAAGUUUCUUGAAUCAGAUAGAGCCCGUGCGAAUUAUAAAAACUAACAAUAAUUAAUUGACUGUCAUUACAUGAUACCAUUACAUAAUAGUGUAGUCAGAUUUUAUAACUAGCUUUUGUUUCAUUAUCUUGCACAUACAUUGAAUGAGGUCGUCUUAACAUUAAUUUUAAUUUAAUUUUGUCUAUUGUUUUUGUGAAGGAGUAAAACAAGAUUUUUAUUUGAAAAUUUGA